GGAGAGGCUGGUGUCCCCAUAGCGAGGGCUGGAUUUAAGUUGAGACAAAUUAUCCUUCUCCCUUACGCAGUGCACAUGCCCAGAGCCCCUUUCUAGCCUCAGGGCUCCUGGUGCCCUGUGGGGCAGGGGAAUGUCUCCGGGCAGUGUGGUUUGGGGUUGGGAGUUGGAAGGACUGUGGUUCCUGGAUGACUGUGGAGAGAUGUGAAUUUGGGAGUCUGGUUGUGAGGCCAUCUGAGGCUGCCCAGUGUGUGGCUGUUGUGCUUUGUGUCCCUGUGUGUAUGUCCUUGUGUGUAUGUGUGUCCCCUUGUGUGUCCCCGUGUAUGUGUGUGUCCCUGUGUGUGUCCCCAUAUGUGUCUGUGUGUGUAUGUGUGUGUGUCCCCGUGUGGGUAUGCGUGCGUGUAUGUGUGUGUCUCCGUGUGUGUGUGUAUGCACACAAAAGCAGCUGAGCAUUCCUCAGGCCUGGCCUGGAAUUUCAGAUCCACUCUGGAUGAAAGUUGCUGCUGGCUGCCUCUUCUGUUCCCCUAACUAUGGGCACUGCCUUUUCCUUAUGCCAAGCUGCCCGCAGCUGAGAGCAAUGCAGGGUCUCCCUCUCUGCACAGCAAAUUCUGGCUGGGGACUCCACUCUCCUGCUCCACAGGCCACCUGGACGCACUGCCCAGGGCCACGGGAGGGACACCUGCAGCGGAUGGACAUCAAAAACUAAGGUCAAUGGCCGGGUGCAGUGGCUCAUGCCUGUAAUCCCAGCACUUAGGGAGGCUGAGGCAGGAGGAUCACCUGAGGUCAGGAGUUCAAGACCAGCCUGGCCAACACGGUGAAACCCGUCUCUACUAACAAUGCAAAAAUUAGCCAGGUGUGGUGGUGGACACCUGUAAUCCCAGCUACUCAGGAGGCUGAGGCAGGAGAAUCACUUGAACCUGAGAGGUGGAGGUUGCAGUGAGCCGAGACUGAGCCACUACACUCCAGCCUGGGUGAGAGGGAGAGACUGUCUCAAAAAAAAAAAAAAAAGAAACUAAGGUCAAUCGCCAAUGAACAAUGAGACAGCGUGGGGGUGAGACGGGAGGACACACCGGGAGGGGCGCAAGAAAUGCCAGAGGCAGGAGACAGAUGGGUCCAAGGGCCAGAGAGCCUGCUCCAGUGGCUCCUCGGAGUGAGAUGGGUCAGAGAGGGAGGCAGGAGACCAGAAAAUACCAAGGAAGAAAAAUCUAAGGUGCUGAUUCCACAGGGACUUCCUGAGAAGGGCGGAGUGGCUCCCAGCGGACGGGAAUUAGAGACCGCCUGAGAACAGGAAACCUACCUCCUCUAUUUCUGGGUUCCCAGUGUCCUGCCCAGAGCCCAUCAUGUGGCAGAAGCUCAGGACACAAAUGUCAGGGGCAGAAGACUAAGUCCUUGCUCUGGGCAGGGGUCAGGACGUGUGCAGCUCCUUGGCCCCAGAAUUGUUUCCCUCCUGCCUCACUCCCUGGUGUAGAAUUUGGCCCAGACGCUCCCUGCCAUGUGACUUGGCAGGAGCUCCCUCUAGAGGAGGGGUAGUGAUAUAGCUGUAAAUCUCACGUUGAGGCUGGGCGCGUUGGCUCAAGCCUGUAAUCCCAGCACUUUGGGAGGCUGAGGCAGGCGGAUCACCUGAAGCCAGGAGUUCGAGACCAGCCUGCCCAACAUGGUGAAACCCUGUCUGUACUAAAAAUAUUAAAAAAAUUAGCUGGGCAUGGUGGUGCAUGCCUGUAAUCCCAGCUACUUGGGAGGCUGAGGCAGGAGAAUCGCUUGAACCCAGGAAGCAGAGGUUGCAGUGAGCUGAGAUCGUGCCACUGCACUCCAGCCUGGGCAACAGAGCGAGACUCCAUUAAAAAAAAAAAAAAACCUCAUGUUGAAAUGUGAUCCCCAAUGCUGGCGGUGGGGCCUGGUGGGAGGUGUUUGGAUCAUGGGGUGGAUUUCUCAUGAAUGGUUUAGCACCAUCCUCUUGGUGCCGUUCUUGAGACAGUGAGUGAACUCUCUCGAGAUCUUGUUUAAAAGAGUGUGGCACCUCCCUCCAUGUCUCUUGCUCCCACUCUUGCCAUGUGAGAUGCCUGCUCCCCCUUCACUUCAGUCACAAUUGUAAACUUCCUGAGGCCUUCACCAGAAGCUAAUGCUGGCACUAUGCUUCUUGUACAGCUUAGAGAACCAUGAGCCAAUUAAACUUCUUUUCUUUAUAAAU
rnacentral:lncRNA from 10 species